GGGCCGUUAGCUCAGUUGGUUAGAGCAGAGGACUCAUAAUCCUUUGGUCGCUGGUUCGAGUCCAGCACGGCCUA
rnacentral:tRNA from 1 species